GUCGCGUUAGCUCAACCGGCAGAGCACUCGGCUCAUAACCGAGCUGUUGCAGGUUCAACUCCUGCACGCGGCA
rnacentral:tRNA from 1 species